UGACCCAAUCCAUUCUGUGAUUCUAAGGCAUUGUUUGGCAGUGUCACACAAGGUGUCUCUGCUAUCGAAUCUCUCUGCUCCUGACCAUUGCUCCCAGGCCAGCCUCUCGCUGUGGUCCUGCCUUGGCCUGCUCCCUACAUUGAUUCAACAGCAGGGUGGUUAUCUAAGGGACUGGCAGAUAGAAGUACUUAACCACACCGGUGGCUACUGUUUUAGCAGACCCAUGGUUCUUUCACAUACCUGGAGCCUAUGGAUUAGCAGUUGAGAAAGACUUUAAUAUGGGAACAGUUCAGGUGAUAACUACUUAACACUUUCAAAUUCUGAGGAAAUGUCAUUUCAUGGAGCAUUUCUUGUGUUACCUAGAAAAUCACAGCUCUGCAGGGCACAGUUGUGCAGCUCUGCAGUAGGGUGAAAACAGCACAUCUUGAUCUAUUGCAUGUUUGACUCUCCUCCUGCAUUACUGAUGGAUCGUGGACAUGGACCAAUGUGCUAUGUGGUAGACAGAUCCCAUCAAAGAGAAUAAAAAGACAUUACUC